rnacentral:rRNA from 1 species
CCCUUAGAUGUCCGGGGCUGCACGCGCGCUACACUGAAGGAAUCAGCGUGCUAAAACCAUUGUCGAAAGGCAUUGGUAAACCCAUUAAAAUCCUACGUGAUUGGGAUCGGGAAUUGCAAUUAUUUCCCUUGAACGAGGAAUUCCCAGUAAGUGUGGGUCAUAAGCUCGCGUUGAUUACGUCCCUGCCCUUUGUACACACCGCCCGUCGCUGCCCGGGACUGAGCCGUUUCGAGAAAAGCGGGACUGCUGCUGUCGGGGCUUUCGGGCCUUGGCUUCGGUGGAAACCGCUUUAAUCGCAGUGGCUUGAACCGGGCAAAANUCGUANCA